UAAAAACUGCAGGACACCGGCCCUCGAGGCUUGGAGUUGGGGACCCCUGCUUUAAAUACUAGAAUAUAGAAAACCCAAACUCACAUAUAUAAACUAAUGAUUCAGCACUCAGAGACAGCGCACGGCCCUGGAACCAGGACACCAUUAACACUUGUACCUUAAACCAAACCAAGUUUGAGAAAAACAUCUCAUGGAUGUGAAUAAAGUCUGAUGGCCUGACCAACAAGGAAGCAUAGCUGCACUCAAUGAGGCGGGGUCUGCUAUUCACAUCCACCAGGCACUUGUUGUCAUCGUCAUCAACGGUGGGACUGAGGAGCCCGAUGUGGAGCCGCUGAGCACUGGUGUAGUAAACAUUCUGAAAUGAACACAAAACCCUGCUAUAAGCAAACUGCAUGCUCCUUUACUGUGCAUGUUCAGACGGGCGUUGUUGACAUUUAGAUAAUGGCCCUUCUCCAGCUGUAUAUGCUAUACAGGUAUUAAACUAUGCAGCAAAUGAGGCUUGCUCUUGGGUUUUCUUUCAGUAUGAAAGAGAGAUCUGUGAGGCUGAUUUACAUGCAUUAAAGAUGCAUAUUUAUACUGCUUUCCUGACUGAACACAGGCUAAAAGAUAGACCAGGCGAGGCAACAAAAGAAGCUCAUUGUUAAUUCAAGAAUUGGGGGGAGAGAAAUAAUUGUGCUUUCUCUGAUGGAAACCUUCCCAACAGCUUUUUUCAAGGGCAAAUGUUUGCUCAUAUUAAGCUGACAAAGCUGUAAAUCAUUUGCAAGAAGGAAGCAAAAGAACGAGUUAUGUAUUCACUGACACAAAACUUGCUUUGGUUUGGUGAAGAGCACACAGAGUGAAAAACACGACGUCUUGAACAAACAUAAUGUGCUAUGCUGGGUACCGAUAUUAUGAAUGUGCUCAUUCGUGCAGGGGUGGAAGGUAAAUAAGUAAACUCCAAACUCUUUGAUUAAUUAAUUACAUUUUUUAAAAAUAAAAACAUGUUAUGUUAGCACUCGUUUUUUUUUUACCAGAGAUAUUUCAAAAAGAUAAAACUAUAUGACCUUUAACAAAAAAGCAAAAUGCAGCUGGACGCCUAAAGCAAUAAAACGAAAUUAAUGUCGCUUUGUUUUCUUUUUUUCCCCCUCUCCCACUAAUCAACUCACCAGAUUUAUCUAGUGACCCACUGGAGGGGCACAACGCCCACAUUGGCUGCCACAGUAUCUAACUGUGUAGUCCAGAAAACAGUUAAAAUUAGCUCCACGCCUCCACCUCGACCAGCCAUAAAAAUAAGAAUAAAAUGCUACUUACACAUCAAUGGAUCAGUAUCAAGUGUCUGACUAGACCCCUUUGUAUGCAGAGCGAAUACAGCGUUACACGUUGUGCUGUCAGCGCUGUGGUUUUACAUGAGCAGAACUGUGACUCUAGUAUUUUCACGUUGUUUACUAGUAGACUUACAAAAGUAAAGGAUCCGGGUACGUAUACUGGCAGCUUAAAACAAAGGGAUAAAAACAAAGCUCAAAGGUGAACACAUUAAUUGGGUAGCAGAAUUUAAAUGAUAAAGAGGUGCAAACAUCAAUGAAGUAGUGAAGUCACCAGAGUUAAACUGAGCUUGAAGCAGACAAUUACACAGGAACUAUGUGGAUCUGGGGUACAGAUUACCCUCCUCAUCCCCCCUAUUAUCAGUCAAAGAUACUCAAAAUACUUUCUUUUAUUAAAGUUUUAUUAAAAUCACAGAGUUAGAUUGUAUUACUUUUACUCUAAUCAUAUUUGUCUCUUAAUUCCCAAAUUACUUCCCGCAUCUUUUGCACCAGGCAUUAAAAAAUCUGAUAAGUGUGAUUUACAAAAAAAAAAAAAUUAUCUGUGCUGCUCACUUUUGGAAAUGUGCAAGCUGCCAGGCCUUUGUGGCAGUGGCUUCUGUUGUUGCUGUGCUUAAGUCGGUAUGUUUUAUUACUGCUCGAGCGAGCUGGAGGGCUGUAUGUUUGCUGACAACAUGCUCUACUGUGGGAGUGUAAGCUUUGUAUUACUCUUUCUUUCAUGUGUACCUUGGCAGUUUUCUUUUAGCACAUUUAUGUACUGCUUUUACCACAGCACUUUGGACACAAAGUCUAUAAAAGCAACAUCUGCGGAAAGUAGCUGAUGCUUAAAAUGACUCAUUCUGACCGACUAGAGCAUGCAUUUGCAACAGUCAUUGUAUCUGUACCAAUAUAAAAGCAAUCCAGGGACUAAUUCCUCCCGAUGAUGUAGCACUGAAACAUAAAAAUAGAGCAGACUAGAUUUGUCUUGCAGCAGAGAUCCCUAAUCUCAUUAGAAAUGCUGGUGCUACUCCAAUCCUUUGUUUGAUAUGCCUGGAUUUAUAGCUCAAAACAGAUUUAUAAUUAACAAGUUUUAAGUUAUUUAGGUCUGAAAAAAGAGCUGUUUAAGCAGAAUAUGGUAAUAAUAAUUAUUAACAUUCCUAAAGCUUACAAAUAUAUAUCACCGAAGAUUUCUCUGCGAUAAAUUGUACAGUGGUGUAAACAUCAACACAGGCCACACUGAGUGUGAAGCACAUCCAGUAGUUUCAUUUAAAUGGAGAGGGAUAAUGUCAGAUCAAACCACACUCUAUGAGACAAGUUUACAACAAUCACAGCAAGGUUAAACAGUCUGAAAACAAUCUGCUCAGAUGUAAUAGGAUGGAGGGAUCGAUAUGCUGGGAGAGACUGGAGAAAGCAAAUGAUAAUCAUGCUGUACUAACAUUUGAAGACACAAACUCCCUCCUAUUUGAGCUGACAUAUAUCCUGAAUAAGCAGUUCAGACAAACAGCAAAUAAAAACUGAUUAAAAACAAAAAGAGUGUAAAAAGAAAGCUGGAGACAAAGAUUAAGGUACAAAAUAAUGUAAUCGAAAACAUGGUCUUUGCAACUUGUUUUGUUGAUGAUGGGGAAUUUUAUUCUGAGCUGGAUUCCUUCAGGAAGGUUCACAGCUAAAUUGAGGUGUAUUGCAAGUAGAGACAGGUUUAAUAUGUAUUUAAAAACAUCGGGGACUGUUGCUCGAGUUAUUUUCCUAAGAUAAAACAAGUUUGGGUAAGACAACCCAAGAUAUAUAGGCAUUAUAUUCAGUUUUAGUAUUUGCUCCAUGCUGAAGUGAAGCAGAGACAGAGGUUGUAUA